rnacentral:lncRNA from 1 species
GAGAAGGAAAAAUCACCUUGGUAUGGUGGAAUGGAGGUAACUUCUUUAACAGCGAACCAGUAUAAAAAUAACUUUGUUAGUUUUUUUGUUCGUAUUAUUACUUGAUUGAGUUGGUUUUGAAAACAAACUUUUGUUUUAGAAAUCCAAUUCAAACCCUUAUUUCUUGUGUUUCUUGCCACCUUCACCGUGAUGAAAAGUUUCUUAAUAAAUAAAAAACAUGCGCCAACAAAAUUGUUAUAUAACGACAGUGGAAAAAUGGCCAUUGUAAU